GAUGGAAGAACGUAGCGAAAUGCGAUAAGUAAUGUGAAUUGCAGAAUUCAGUGAAUCAUCGAAUCUUUGAACGCACAUUGCGCCCUCUGGUAUUCCGGGGGGCAUGCCUGUUCGAGCGUCAUUAUAACCACUCAAGCUCUCGCUUGGUAUUGGGGUUCGCGGUUCCGCGGCCCCUAAAAUCAGUGGCGGUGCCUGUCGGCUCUACGCGUAGUAAUACUCCUCGCGAUUGAGUCCGGUAGGUCUACUUGCCAGCAACCCCCAAUUUUUACAGGUUGACCUCGGAUCAGGUAGGGAUACCCGCUGAACUUAAGCAUAUCAAUAAGCGGAGGA
rnacentral:misc_RNA from 1 species